UGGCAUGUAGCUCAGAAGGUAGAGCAGCGCACUGUUAAUGCGCCGGUCCGGGGUUCGAGUCCCUGCUUGCCAGCCA
rnacentral:tRNA from 1 species